UACGUAGGGUGCGAGCGUUAAUCGGAAUUACUGGGCGUAAAGCGUGCGCAGGCGGUCUGUUAAGACCGAUGUGAAAUCCCCGGGCUUAACCUGGGAACUGCAUUGGUGACUGGCAGGCUUUGAGUGUGGCAGAGGGAGGUAGAAUUCCACGUGUAGCAGUGAAAUGCGUAGAGAUGUGGAGGAAUACCGAUGGCGAAGGCGCCUCCUGGGCCAACACUGACGCUCAUGCACGAAAGCGUGGGGAGCAAACAGG
rnacentral:rRNA from 1 species